rnacentral:rRNA from 1 species
AUGGUAGGCUACGAUGGAGAUUUUGUCAUGGCAGAUGUACGUCAAAGGUUGCUCUGCUUUGAGUACGUACCUAAAGGAAGUCUUGAUGAGUAUAUCAAAGAUGCAUCUUUUGGACUUGGCUGGAUAAAGAGCUAUCAGAUAAUAAAGGGAAUUUGUGAGGGUUUACAUUACCUUCACGAGAAUCAUAUUGUUCACUUAGAUCUCAAGCCCGCAAAUAUUCUACUGGAUGACAAUAUGGUGCCGAAGAUUACCGACUUUGGCCUAUCAAGGUGCUUUGAUGAAAAGCAAAGCCGAGCUAUUACCAAAAAUAUGUCCGGAACGUGGGGGUAUAUGCCACCAGAGUUCCAUAAUGGAGACAUAUGCAUAAUCACAUACAAAUCAGACAUAUAUAGUCUUGGUGUCAUAAUUAUGGAGAUGCUGACAGGAAAAAAGUGGUAUCCUGCAUAUCCUGAUAUUGAUGAUGAAAAUCUAGAGGAUGCCACCAACAACUUGUUUCUGAGGAGGAAAAAUGUUCAUCUUAUGAAUGAUAGUACCAAGAAGAAUAUCAUCGUUGGGCAGGGGAUAGCUACGAAUCUUCAUGCGGCCCAAGAAUGUCUCAAUGAUAAUCUUCAUAUUGUUGAAGUCGAGUCGGGUCCAUCUAUGUCUGCUGAUGAUUGUAACAUUCAAGAGGCCAACAAAUGUCUGUGUGAUAAUCUUCAUACUGUUGUAGCCGAGUAUGCUCCAUCUAUUUCUACCGAGGAUCGUAACCUUCAAGAGGCACUUCAAUUCAUUAAGGUUGAUCCCGUGGGAGUAAUUGGAAUAUGGGGUCCAGGUGGAGUGGGGAAAACACACCUUUUGAACAAUAUCAAGAACUCGCUUGAUGGAGACUUGACCUUUAACUAUGUUGUACAAGUGACGGCUUCAAGGGGGUGUUCGGUGGAAAAGAUCCGAACUGACAUUGCACGCCAACUCGAUCUGAAGUAUGAUGGUAAUGUGCAAUCUCAAUGUCAUGCCAUCUUUGAUUUCCUGAAGAAGAGAAGCUUUCUUAUACUAUUGGAUGACCUUUGGGACCAAAUAGAUCUGCAGGCAGUUGGCAUACCAUAUCCCCUGGGAAGUAUAGACCAAAUCAGGAGAAAAGUGGUGCUCACAACAAGAUCAAGAAAAGUUUGUGGUCAAAUGGAGGUGAGAAAAGAGCUUAAAGUAGCUUGUCUCCAAGAGGAGGAGGCAUGGCAACUAUUUCAAGAUAAGGUUGGCCAUGAAACUCUUUCUUAUAGUCCUCGCGUUGAUGCUCUCGCAAGAGAACUUGUGAUGGAAAUGAAGGGCCUGCCAUUAGCUUUGAUAACUAUUGGAAAGGCAAUGUAUGCGAAAUUUGAUAUGGCUGAGUGGGAAUAUGCCAUCCAAUAUAUGAAACGGACAUGUUGCGAUAACGAUGACCCCUUGGAUAUGGAAAGAGUUGUUUUCAGCCAGGUCAAGUUUAGUUUUGAUAGUUUACGAAACAACACUUUGAGGGAUUGUUUCUUGACUUGUGCACUAUGGCCAGAGAAUCAAAAGAUUCCUAAAGUAGAGCUUGCUAAAUGCUGGAUUGGCUUAGGUCUAGUGUUUGAGUCAGACAUACAAUGUUCCUACACAAAAGCAUAUAGUUUGAUGGGAGAGCUUUCAGCUUCAUGUCUGUUAGAUGGAUGUGGAAAGUUGUAUGAUUUUGUUAAAAUGCAUGACGUGGUUCGUGACAUGGCUUUAUGGAUCUCUUGUGGAUGCAGUGAGAACAAUGGCAAGUGGUUUGUUCGUGCAGGAGUUGGCCCGGAUGAAAAAUUUAGCAUUCCUUGGAACCAAGUUCGAUGCAUCUCAUUGGUCCAGAACCAUUUGUUGGAAUUUCCCCUGUGUGACUCGAAUCCCCGUUACAUGAGUAUCUUAUGUCUUGGAAAUAAUCAGUUGCAUGAAAGCAUAAUAGCUGGAGAAAUCAAGAAAUUCGCUUCACUCACAUAUCUGGAUUUGCGCUUUAACCGUCUGAGCCGAAUACCUGAAGAAUUAUGUUCCUUGCCAAACUUGGAACACCUUGAUUUGUCGGAUAAUCUUGAUGUGGAUGAAGUGCCUCACUGCUUUGGAAACCUCGUUAAGCUCAAGUUCCUGUACCUAGAAUCGACUAGCAUACAAAGGAUACCGGAGAGGGUCAUAUCUAGCCUUAAAGCAUUACAGCUAAUAGACAUCAGAACUGAUUUUUUUAGUCCAGUUUCUCACGAACUUCUUUCUAGAAUGCUUCGAGAGCUGGGCACCCUGCCCCACUUGAAAGCAGUUGGUAUCAUUGUGGAGUAUAAAAUACUACAAUUAAGAGGAGGCGGUGACCUCCCCAUCAGGUAUUUAAAUCUGCGGGGACUAGAGACACAUGCACUCAACUUCUCUGAUAUUCUAUCACAUGACUUUGCACGAAGGACCUUGUAUGAACUGCGAAUUCAAAUGUGCAAAAUGAAGGAAAUAAUUUUAAGUCACGAGUUUGCACAACCAAGCUGCUGUUUUGGUACACUCAAUCAGAUCCUUUUGUUUCAUUUGUCAGACUUGAGAGAGAUAAUUUGGAUGGAAACAUCUCCAACAUCUCUAUUUCCAAGGCUCACUUGUUUGACGGUGUUGUUUUGCGGAAAGCUAAAUGACCUCUCUUGGGCGAUGUAUCUGCCUUGCCUCGAACAACUCAUAAUAGGUGGUUGUUCUUUGAUGCAGCAAGCAUUUAUGAGGGAUCAUGGUGAUAAAAAUUGUAGCGAACAAAACAGCUCUAGUAAGACAUUUCCCUGCCUCAAGUAUCUGAGAAUUUCGAGGUGUGUAUCGCUGGUCAAUAUUGGCGAUCCGGAUGUGACAUUCCCAUCCCUAGAGCGGCUGGAACUUAAUGAUUGUCAAGAACUGAAGAGGCUUCCUUUCAGGACAAACAGCUUGCCACGAAAACUGCAGGUACUCGAGAUUGAUGUUGAAUCAUGGGAAAGGUUGGAAUUGGAAGAAGGUGCCAAAUCUUUCCUGCAACCCAGGCUUGAAAUUGUGGAAGAUGUACCAUGA